rnacentral:rRNA from 1 species
CCUACGGGGGGCAGCAGUGGGGAAUAUUGCACAAUGGGGGAAACCCUGAUGCAGCGACGCCGCGUGAAGGAAGAAGUAUUUCGGUAUGUAAACUUCUUUCAGCAGGGAAGAAAAUGCCGGUACCUGACUAAGACGCCCCUGCUAACUCCGUGCCAGCAGCCGCGGUACUUCGUCGGGGUCACGCGUUCUCCGGAUUUGCGUGGCGUAACGGGAGCGUAGGCGGUGCAGCAAGUCAGAAGUGAAAGCCCGGGGCUCAACUCCGGGAGUGCCUUUGAAACUGUUGAACUAGAGUGCAGGAGAGGUAAGUGGAAUGCGUGGUGUAGCGGUGAAAUGCGUAGAUAUUAGGAGGAACACCAGUGGCGAAGGCAGCUUACUGGACUUUAAAUGACGCUGAGGCUCGAAAGCGUGGGGAGCAAACAGGAUUAGAUACCCUUGUAGUC